rnacentral:piRNA from 1 species
UCACAGAAUUUAGGAUGCCAAACCAUUGA